AGAUUAUUGAAUUGUCAGUUGGUAUCUGGUCAUUCGGUUGUAUCUGUCAUUCGCUUAUGUAUACGAAAUGACCCACGGUUUAGGAACUCGGUAUUUCUUGAAGUCAGUGAUAUUUUUUGAAGUGUCUCCCUUCCAUCUAAAAAUUCUUCCUUCGCUUCGCAUACCAAAUACCAUAAGACGGAUAAGAGAAGAGUUCCCAUAUAUAGUCCCACCACUCGCUUUUGGCUGGCUUGUCUAUAAUCAGACGGAGAAGUUGCACGUGAAGUAUAAAAGAAAACAACCCGGGGAUUACGAUGAUGAAGAUGAUGAUGCAUAAAGUCAUUUAUAGAAUUGUUGAGUUAAUGUGACACAUUAUAUUAAUAUUGAGUUGGAAA